rnacentral:rRNA from 1 species
UACGGGGGGGGCAAGCGUUGUUCGGAAUUACUGGGCGUAAAGGGCUUGUAGGUGGCCAACUAAGUCAGACGUGAAAUCCCUCAGCUUAACUGGGGAACUGCGUCUGAUACUGGAUGGCUUGAGUUUGGGAGAGGGAUGCGGAAUUCCGGGUGUAGCGGUGGAAUGCGUAGAGAUCCGGAAGAACACCAGUGGCGAAGGCGGUCUGCUGGGCAGUUGCUGACACUGAUGCGCGACAGCGUGGGGAGCAAACAGG